AGUAGAAUUUCUAGGUCACAUGGCAACUCUGUUUAACUUUUUGAGUAACUGGCAAAUUGUUUUCCACAGUGAUUGUACCAUUUUACAUUUCCACCAGAAAU
rnacentral:pre_miRNA from 1 species